UUCCUCUGUGUAUGGGGAAAACCAAACAAUUUUCUCCCAUAUAUUCUCAGGAAAGAAUACUUCUGAUCACCAAAAUAGUGAGAUUUUUUCCCCCCUCACAUCAACCAAUUGUUCAACAUCAGCUGGAUACCUUACAAUUUAGUUCAAUUCAGAGACUAACUGGAGUUAACAUGGACCCCACAGGUUAAAGGCUCAGUCCCGCAGCAUUGUCCUUCCCUUUCAUGUCCACACCACAAGUAUUAGGUUCCUAGGUUCCCAGGUUCCCCAUUUCUGUCUGACUUGGCUACAACUCAGAGGAUCCCACUAUCCCCUUCUUGGGCUGGAGAAUUUGCUUCAAGCAUUCAUAGAGCUCAGGCAUCACUAACAUUUAUCAGUUGUUAUACGAGAUAUUACAAAGAAUAUAGAUGAACAGCCUUACAAGUGGCACAUAGGGCCAGGUGUGUGGGAAGGGGUGCAGAGUUUCUGGUUGCACUACCAUCCAGGCAUUUCCAACUGUGCAACAACCUGGAUGCACACUUUAGAGCUGAUUACGGAGAUGUUGUCACAAAGCCAGGACUGACCAUUAUCUCAGCCUCUAGGCCCUCUUCCCUUCCUGGAGGAUGAGGGCGGGUGAGGCUGAGAGUUCCAAGCUUCUCAUCAUGGCUUUGUAUUUCUGGUGAGCAUUCCCCAUCUAAGAGCCCACCAGAGUGACCUGAUUAGAAUGAGAAAUGCGCCUAUCCCCAAGGAUUUCAAGGAAUUUAGUAGCUCAGAGCCAGGAACCUGGUCAAUGAUGCAGUAAUAGAACACAAGAUUCUUCCAGCCCUCCUCCCAUUGCUCAGGAAAUCAAUCACAAAGAUUUGAGGAGCUGCCAGGAACCAGAGGUAGACAUAAAAUAUAUAUUUCCUGUUAUAAAUCACAACAUCACAGAAGCUAAUAACGAGAGUUUUUAUACCUCACAAGAUUGAAGCAAACAGGAAAUUAGUUAACACAGUGGUACCUUGGAAAUAUGCCUGACAUACAUCAAGUAUUGUGAUAAUGACAGCUGUUAUUAUGAAAUGUCUACCAGGGUAAGGUAGUAUUUUUCAAACUUGGCUAAACAUUGGACUUACCCUACUUAGUUUUGACUCAGAUUGAUUAUCAUUCAAUUGGUUUGAGGUGUGGACUGUGUGUUGUGGGGUCUUCAAAAAUUUUAAGGGAAAUUAAAAUGCAGCACUGUCACUAGAAAUAGAAUGAAUAGAACAUUGUAUAUAUCAUAUUUUGUUUCUAAUGGUCACAUUUAAAGGGUACAAGUAAUUUUACUAAUAGGGCCAUCAUGUGUGUUGUUGUUGAUAAGUAAUACAUUGAUAUCUGUUAUUUGACUCAGUGUCAUGGUUUGAAUCUUCUGUUUCCCCAAAGAUCUGUGUCAGCUGAUGGUGCUGUGGGGAAGAGGUGGAACCUGUAAGACGUGGGGCCUCAUGGGAAUAAAUCAGGUCACGGGGAGGUGUGUCCUUGAAGGGGUGUCGGGAUCCCAGCCUCUUCCUGUCUCUUUUUGUCCCCUGGCUGCCACGAGGCAAACAGCAUUGCUCUGCCAUGUACCAUGCACUUGCCAAGAUGUUCUGCCUUGCCACAGCACCUAAACCACCAGAGCCAAGCCAGCGUGGACCUCUGAAACUGAGCCCAAAGAAGCCUUUCCUCCAUUUUAAAAAUUUCAUGUACUUUUUUAUUAGAACAAUUUUGCAGUGUAUAACGUUUGCCUCCUUGUGUGGAGUCGGUGCGCGGACAGAACACAUCUUCAUUCCUGUUUUCAUCCUCUUCCUCUCGCCUCCCCCAUCUCUUGACCCCGUGCCCUCUGAGAAAGCUCUAUCUCCUUGUAAUAGGGAGCUGUCUUAACUCUUUCAGGAAGAUGUUUGGAAGGGGAAUAGCUAAGUUCACUAUCUCAGGUAUUUUGUCACAGGGACAGCCAGCUAACUAACACACUCAAUGUAUUUCCUUCAAAUAUUAUUUCGCAUUCGUGUGGAUCCUGUUUUUACUCAAAAAUGUAUAAGUGGAAAAGGAGACAAUAUUUUAAGCUGAUAGUCUCAGUAAGGCUGACCCCUUGUAGUCUUGUCUGGCUUGGAGAAUAACUAGUUGGGUGCGGUUUUCAGAGGAAUGUGCUGUAAGGGGACGAAUGUGACACCACACAACUCAGUGACAGCUGACACCAGAAUGUGCUGCCCACCGUGAACACCAAGUCUGCUCACCACCUGCAGACCACUGUGGGGCUCUGUUUCAUGCUUGAUAUGUCAACAGCAGCUUGGGCUUGGGUUUUAUUGACUUCAAUUCUCCAUGGUGUCAUUCCCCCCACCCUUCUGGACUCAGUAUUAAUCACUUCUUUGGAUUACAAUCAAUUCCUGUAGUAGGUUUGAGGGUGGGUUAAAAAAUUUAAUAACUCAAGAAGCCUCUGAAUUUAAGAUGUUAGUGCCUCUGGCUUAUAUGAUUUACAUAAUUAUUUGUUCAUGCAGAAUUUGUAUAUCAUUUCUCUGAUUGUUUUAUACUACAUGAAACUUCCUGGCAGUUCCCCAAAUGCUGGUGUCUCAGCCUGCCUAUGCAGUCCCAUCUCAGUAGCAAUAAAGCAAAUAAAUGGCUGAAGGGCUGCCCAGCACUCAAAUAAGGUAAACCCCAGCCUUCCGAGCUGUUCACCGAAUUGGACACCCCAAGCUGUUUGAGGAAAAAGAUCGCUCUUGUUUUAUUAAUCCUAUUAAAACUACGCACAGAACAACACAUCGUGAGGUUUUCGUCAGCUUGGAGGAUCAAGAUAAUUUAUUCUUUGCUGAGCUUUUUGUGUUUGCUGUGCAUAAGAGUCAUUUGAUAAUCACUUUUAAAGUGGACUUGUGUACUUUUAUCCAGUCCACAUGCAAAUUCAAUAAAACGUAUUUACUUUGUCUUCACUCUGUGCCAGUUCUUUUUGCUAUGCAUACAGAAACAGAGAUGAGAAAGAAUUACUGCCUUCAAAUAGUUCAAAGUUUAAUGGGACACACACACACAGUAGAAAUGUGAAGAGGGUUAGAGCAGAAGUAGAAUUUGAUGCUUCUGGACCACUCAGAGGGAGCAAUUCAUUUGGCUGAGGUUGGAAGAACACUUUUUAAAUUAGGUCUCGAUGGAAGACAAAUGGGAGCAGGCACUGCAGGCUAAGGGGACCAAGUGAACCAUGGUGGAACCCACCUCUCAGGCUGACGUGGAAUUGUGCUUGUUUUCCUUUCAAGCACACACCAUGCACAACAACUUGGAACAUCUGUUUUGUGAAUCUCUCAUCAUUCUGCUGAUAAGUGAGGUUAAGCUUGUCCAUCCAAAG